rnacentral:rRNA from 1 species
GCCCUAGUAACGGCGAGUGAAGCGGCAACAGCUCAAAUUUGAAACCUGGCGCUUGCGCCCGGAUUGUAAUUUGUAGAGGAUGCUUCUGGGCAGCGGCCGGUCUAAGUUCCUUGGAACAGGACGUCAUAGAGGGUGAGAAUCCCGUAUGCGACCGGCGCGCACCCUCCACGUAGCUCCUUCGACGAGUCGAGUUGUUUGGGAAUGCAGCUCUAAAUGGGAGGUAAAUUUCUUCUAAAGCUAAAUAUUGGCCAGAGACCGAUAGCGCACAAGUAGAGUGAUCGAAAGAUGAAAAGCACUUUGGAAAGAGAGUUAAAAAGCACGUGAAAUUGUUGAAAGGGAAGCGCUUCCCACCAGACUCCGCGGCGGUGUUCCGCCGGUCUUCUGACCGGUCCACUCGCCGCCGUGGGGCCAGCAUCGUCUGGGGCCGCCGGAUAAGACCGCAGGAAUGUAGCUCACUGAGUGUUAUAGCCUGCGGUGAUGCGGCGCGCCCCGGGCGAGGUCCGCGCUUCGGCAAGGAUGCUGGCGUAAUGGUGGGCAGCGGCCCGUCUUGAAACACGGACCAAGGAGUCUAACAUCUAUGCGAGUGUUCGGGUGUCAAACCCCUACGCGUAAUGAAAGUGAACGGAGGUGGGAGCUUCGGCGCACCAUCGACCGAUCCUGAUGUCCUCGGAUGGAUUUGAGUAAGAGCAUAGCUGUUGGGACCCGAAAGAUGGUGAACUAUGCCUGAAUAGGGUGAAGCCAGAGGAAACUCUGGUGGAGGCUCGCAGCGGUUCUGACGUGCAAAUCGAUCGUCAAAUUUGGGUAUA